rfam:Jannaschia rubra strain CECT 5088 genome assembly, contig: 0011
GCCUGGGUAGCUCAGGGGUAGAGCAGUGGAUUGAAAAUCCUCGUGUCGGUGGUUCGAUUCCGCCCCCGGGCA